rfam:Fukomys damarensis contig57073, whole genome shotgun sequence.
GGAUGUGAGGGUGAUCUGGCUGCAACAUCUGUAACUCCAUUGAUCACCAGGGUUGAUUCAGCUGAUCUGGCUGGCUAGGCAGGUGUCCCCUUCCUCCCUCACGGCUCCUUGUGCUUCCCUCCCGAAGCUGAGUGCUCCAUCGAAGAGGACCACACCUGACAGAGGAGGACCAGUUCCUCAGUCAAGGGUAGAGGAGUAGCUAUUGUUCCCUCCUAGAACCUCCAAACAGGCUCUCAAAAUGAAGCUUAAGUGGCUAUAUCUGCUAUUACUUGACCCUCUACUCCCUAAACCAUAUUACAGAG